AUGUGUGUGUUGAUUUUUGGUGUAGGGUUUUUGAUUGGUUAAAGUAGUACUACACAUACAUCUGCCGAAACUAGCAGUGAAGUUCAAUGGGCAGAAAGAAGACAACAGAAGAGAACCCUGAACCUCCCAAGCACGGCGGUGGAGGAGGGAAGUCCAAGAAGAAGAAUCGAAUGAUUGCCGAUGAUGAGUACUCUGUCCAGACUGAA
rnacentral:misc_RNA from 1 species